AACGAACGCUGGCGGCAUGCCUAACACAUGCAAGUCGAACGAGACCUUCGGGUCUAGUGGCGCACGGGUGCGUAACGCGUGGGAACCUGCCCUUAGGUUCGGAAUAACUCCCCGAAAGGGGUGCUAAUAUCGGAUAAUGUCUUCGGACCAAAGAUUUAUCGCCUUUGGAUGGGCCCGCGUUGGAUUAGCUAGUUGGUAGGGUAAAAGCCUACCAAGGCGACGAUCCAUAGCUGGUCUGAGAGGAUGAUCAGCCACACUGGGACUGAGACACGGCCCAGACUCCUACGGGAGGCAGCAGUGGGGAAUAUUGGACAAUGGGCGAAAGCCUGAUCCAGCAAUGCCGCGUGAGUGAUGAAGGCCUUAGGGUUGUAAAGCUCUUUUACCCGGGAUGAUAAUGACAGUACCGGGAGAAUAAGCUCCGGCUAACUCCGCG
rnacentral:rRNA from 1 species